AGUCUCUCCCCUUUCUAUGAAAGGUGCUUAUUUUCCAUUAUUUUAGCACAUGGACGUUUGCUUGCCUGAUAGUGAAAAUACUGUAAAGUGGGGGAACAGCAGUUUCUUAUUCUUGGAGGGCAGCUGAGCUGGUGGAAUAGAUGAGGGCUUUAGAAGCAAAAUAUCUGUAUAGUGGUGAGAUAGUGGGCGAGGUUCUUAGCUUUUUAAAAGACCAAUACAAACUGAUUCUGGUGUUGUCCAAAGCUAAUAUGUUGCAUGUGGAAGGCCCAAGACAUCGCAUGACUUACACAUCGUGUAUGUUUAAAUACUAGUUGUGUCUUCCCGUUGAAGCGUUUGUGCUGAGUGCCGGACACAGAGAACUUGUCCCGGAACCCUCUGGACCGAAGGCUCAGUAGUGGUCAGAAAAGCACAUCUAGGGAAGACAUCCUUGCAAGAACAGAAAUGUGGGCUUUAUUUUUUCAUUGGUCUAUGGCCUCGGUUCUGGUAGGAUAGUGGUAUAAGUCAGGGGUGAGAGUUCUGGUCCCCUGGCACUCCUCAGGGCAAAAGAAAGCUACCGCGAUGGCUCUAGGCGUGCCUGAACAGAGAAGAAAAUAAAACUACCGUCAGGAAGGGAAGGACCCAGAGAAAGUUGGAGGUUAAGUUAAGGGCCUGAGAUCUUAUUAGAUAAAGUACUUUGACUUCUCGUUUAAGGGAUCUUCUUC
rnacentral:lncRNA from 1 species